rnacentral:rRNA from 1 species
UACAGAGGUCUCGAGCGUUAGGCGGAAUCACUGGGCUUAAAGCGUGUGUAGGCGGAUCGUUAAGUGCCUUGUGAAAUCCCACGGCUCAACCGUGGAACUGCUUGGCAUACUGGCGGUCUUGAGCAACCUAGGGGCGAGCGGAACAAAUGGUGGAGCGGUGAAAUGCGUAGAUAUCAUUUGGAACGCCAAUGGUGAAAACAGCUCGCUGGGGGUUUGCUGACGCUGAGACACGAAAGCCAGGGGAGCGAACGGG